rnacentral:lncRNA from 1 species
AAGGCCGGCCGGCCGUGGAGGGGAAAUGGCUAGGCAGGAGUGCGGGGGGAGGGAGUGGUCCUUAGCUGAAUGCGCCUGCGUUGUGGCGGCCUCUGGCGCCCCAAGGUAGGGCUCACGCACUUUCUCCCUAGCAAGGAAUGCGCGUGCGCGUAAGCAGGGUUGUUGAUUAGUGCCCCCCACCCCCCCGACCCCCGAAAAGCGACCCCUAGUGGUGCACCGGUGCGGACCAGAAAAUGGCACGCUUUCUUGAAACAGAUGCUGAAGUCCAUGUGUGCCGGGCAGAGGCUAGCGAGCGAGCCCCAGGACCCUGCGGCCGUGUCUCUGCCCACGUCGAGCGUGCCCGAGACCCGAGGGAGAAAUAAAGGCAGCGCUGCCCUCGGGGGAGCAUUGGCCCUGGCGGAACGCAGCAGCCGCGAGGGAUCCAGCCAGAGGAUGCCACGGCAGCCCAGCGCUACCAGGCUGCCCAAGGGGGGCGGGCCUGGGAAGAGCCCUAUGCAGGGCAGCACCUAGGAUGGCGCAGAGACUUGUCACAUCUUUGUCCCCAGCAAAGGCUACGUGUUACCUCCUUCAGUUGAUAAUAAACCUUUCUGAGAUGCAGAGGGUCCAGGUCAGAUGCUCUCUACCGUUUUCUUUUUUUUUUUUUCAUAUUAAGGCACACUUAGAAUGAAGUUUC